UUGAUCCACAAUUAAAUAGUCACGCAGUCGUGCGCGAAAAGUGGAUUUAGAGGGAGCAUCUCUGACAGUGGUUGGCAAGGAGUUCCAGAAGAGAGCUCCAUUAACGUGAAUUGCGUGUCUAUAACAUUCAGUGCGAUGUAUGGGUACGAUAAGGUCAUCGUCCCUACGUUGAGUUUCGCGAGACACAUGCGUAAGAGGUGAAGUGACAAGUGCAGAUCUAAGCCAAUUUAACUGGCGGUAAUAAGGCGUAACAUGCUCAUCCAUACGCAAGUCGAAGAUAAAACGCACGCACGAGUUUAAUGCCACUUGCACCUUUUGCGUCUGACCACUAGUUCCGCAGCCAUACACCAGUAAACAGUAGUCAAUGAUGGGAAAGAUAAGAGCGGUCACAAGUAAUAUUCUUAGACUCACAUUGAGGGCAGCACGAUUUGCCUUAAGGACGUACAGCGUUUUGUUUACCCUCCUGCAUACAUCCAGCGUGUGGUCGGUCCAAGUUAGAGUGCUUUCUAUUGUAACUCCAAGACAGCGCACGGAUGGAACGAAAGGAAUGGUCCUGGAAUCUACGCGCAGACAAGGUACCAAAUCCAUAUUUAGCUUAUUAAGAUACCUAGGUGAACCAGCAAUCAUCGAGUACGUCUUAGAAGAAUUGAAACUAAGACAGUUUGAAGCAGCCCAUUCAGUGAUUGCAUUUAUGUCGUUCUGCACCGUCGAGAGAGCGUCUAACAGGUUUUUAGGUUUACAGUGUAAGUAUAUAAGCAAGUCAUCAGCAUAGAUGGAGUAUGAACAAUAAGAGAUAACAGUUGACAAAUCCUUUAGAUACAAUGCAAAUAGUGAGGGUCCUAACACCGAGCCUUGAGGUACUCCCGAAGAAGCCCUCAGGAAGGAGGACGAGGCUCCAUUCGGACCUAUAACAGCCUGCAUUCGAUCUGCAAGAUAGGAUGCAAACCAUCUUCUCACCGACCACGAGAAUCCAGCCUGACGCAUGACCUCAAGCAGCUUAGGAGGACAAAUCGAGUCAAACGCUUUGGUUUUUAUAUCAUGAUUCAUCCACGGUGUCGGAGCUCGGCGUGGUGUAAAAGAACGUACUGGUGCAAGUUCGUCCAAGGUGUCCUCAAGAUAUUGAUUUAAAAUUGCAACUUGUGAAUCCACAGAGGAAGCAGAAAGAAACCUCAACCAGUUACAUUGCUCCAACUUGGUAUGAAGGAUAGUUCUUUCCACAGCUUUUAAGUUACGAUCGUGAGCAGACAUGAAAGGAAUUGAGGACUGCCCAAAAGAGGUGACCUUGGAAGAACUAUCUACCAUACAUAAGUCAAGCCAAGUAUGCGCCCCGCGAGUAUGAUGAGUAGCAGUAUGCUGCACGAGAUGCAAGUUGUUUCCAGCAAUAAAGGAGUGCAUGUAAGAGCUGUCGAAGGACUGGACCAGCAAAUCAGCAUUGAAGUCACCUAUGAUAAGAAUAUUUGAAUAAGCAUGAGAAAGACGAGCAUAGAUUUGUUCAAGAUCACUAAGAAAACCCACUUUCGGAGGUCGAUAGACAGCUCCCAAUAGCAUUCCUAUAGUACCGGGAAACUUAAUUUCUAGAAACAGAAACUCUGGCCAUAGAGAUAGAGAGAGAUAGAGAGAGGGGGAGGGGGAGGGGAGAGAUAACGAGGAAUAUUGCCUUGAGGGCCUAUUGGACCAAGCGUUACGCUUUAAUUUGCUAUUUUUGUGGUGAGAUCUUUCGCUUUCCUUAAACUUUUCUGAUUUUUGUGUAUUGAAGAUUAUAGAAACCGUCCGUUUAGCCGGUGACGAAUUUUCCUUGCCGUUAUCGGGCGAAUGUCUUUCCGCCUAGUAUCAUAUAAAGGACGAUAGUGCCGUUAUUAUUUAUAUUUUUGAGUUUCCGAUUUUGCGCUUUUCUGUAUAAUUUGGUGUUUGCUAUUCAUUCGUAACUAAAGUAUUUCUGGAAUCUUCACCUAGUGUACACGGGGGAAUCUGUCUGCCAGAGUGGGUGACCCCGGAUUAACCGGCUUGGUUGUUCUAUAGCCAGAUUCUCGCGCGGCCGAUUAUAUCAUUUUGUCAAUUAUUCUAAGAUAUCGUUUACCGACAAAUUUUUGUUCUAUUUUCUGCAAAAGUAUUAUGAGACUUCCAAACCCUAAGUUCCGUUAAAUUUAGUGGCGAGCCCACGCCGUCUUUUCUUUACCUAAUCGGAAUCGUAGUGUUUCGCCUGUUUUCCUCUUUCAAAGUGAAAUAAGUUAAACGAAAUUCUUUUCUUGUUUUCGCAAAUCUUUUGUGGCCUUUGCUGAAGUGUGCUUCCGAAUUUCAUAGUUCUACUUUCGUAUGCGAUAUCCGUUCUGAUUUCUAUGAUUUAUUGAGGAUGUACUGUAUCUGAUUAUCGUUGCCAAACAUUAUUAUAAUUUCGUCUUUAUAUUCGCGGUGGAACAUUUGUGAAUUUUGCGUAUCGUACACGUCUUUCCGACGUCGCGCGCUAGCCGCCCUCCGAGGCGACCUUGCCUGUUGAUGUUUCUCGACGUCGCGCCUUCGGCCGAUUUCGAAAUUGUACUACCCGUUCCGAGAACGUCUUUCCGCUGCAACCAUAAUGAAAUACUCGUUACAAUAUUCUAUAUUUUUCUGACUGUGAUAUUUUUUCUGUGCCAUAUCCUGUAUUAAUUUAUUGUAAUAUUUCUAUUUAUUGUGGUACUUUUCGUGCCCGCGAUUUUCGAACCGGUGUUAGCGAACCCGCGUGUAUUAUCCUUUGUCGGAUUCCUUUGUAGUUAUAAUUUCUUUUACGUAACUCUUUCGUAUUACGGUUGUCGACCGCGGUUAUAAUUUCGCGCGUGCGAGAAUUGGAACCGCGCAGACCGUUCUGCUGCCGUUCCGACUUUUGUCAUUAUCGUUAUUUGGUUAUUUUAGUUCAAAACGAAUUUGUUAAUUUAUUUCAAGUAAUUCGAUUAUUCCGACGGCAUUAUUUUCUGUGCCUACCGUUUCUAGGAAUAUCGAGCCUGCGUGCCCGCGUCUUAAUCACGUGCGCGCUCACGCAUAGCGCCUUCGCUGCCGAGAUUUUCCGAUAAGCAGACUGCGACUAUAGUCUCCUGAAUUAUAUGUAGUGCUUCUUAUUUCUUUUGCAUUGUAUAGCUUCCGAGUUUGCAUACCGCUCAUUGUGAGUUAAUUUUAAGACUCUUGUUUAAUUAUGCUUGGUUUUCGCUCGCACCCUCAGUAAUGCUUGCGUUAAUGCUUUUGUAAUUUUGCUAUUGAGUUUAUUGACUAUUUGGAAUUUUGUUUUGCUCAAUACAGCUCUGGUGCGUUAACUAUUUAAUUCGGAUUAUUUUCUUGUAGUUUUUCGUAUCACGUUCCUAUAAGUCCUUGGCUGAGUUCUUUCCUUCCUUACCUCUUGAACGCCGCGACGCUUCCGACAAGCUAGCCUCCGAAGCGGCGUAACGUGGGACGUAUAGUGGUCUAAUUUAGUACUAUCUUUUGAGUUCCGGGUAACCUUUAAGUUUAGUUACGUUCUCUAUUCUUUUUCUUGGCCGUGGAGCCCCUAUCUGUUUUGAGUGGCUGUGGUGCCCCUAUAUGCUUUUGCGUGGCCGUGGUACCCUUACAUUUAGUUCGCCUGGUGGCUUAUUUAGUUUUAGUUCGCCUGAUGGCACCUUUAGGUAUAGUGUGCCUGGUGGCAAUCGGUUACCCCGGACUAAUUAUCUCUCGCGAACUUUAUGGUAUCGACAACGAGCCUAGAGCUCGUGGUGCUCCUUUGAGGGUACCUGGCGCCCAACAACUUUUUCGAGUUUGCCGACACCACUUGCACUCCCGAUUUUCGUUAGUGUAGAGUUCCGUUUUGUUGACGACUGAGAAUAUCGUCGCAAAAUAUAGGUAGGUAAGUAGUGCAGUGUUUAUUUAGGUACCUAUACUAAUGAUGAAACGGCAUUACGAGAAAAACGAAACGACCACAUGAUAAAAAGGCAUUACGAGAAAUGGAAAGAUUAAGACGAUUGUCUUAAUCCCCACAUUAGAUUCUGACUUCGUGACAAUGGGACCACCUCGAGAGGAUACCCUUUUAAACAAAAAAAAGAAUUUUCAAAAUCGGUCCACAAUUGGCGCCGAAAUCGGUGAACAUUCAUAAAAAAAAAUACAUACAGUCGAACAUAGAACCUCCUCCUUUUUGAUUGAAGUCGGGUAAAAAAUAUAUUAUAACAGAACUGCAAACAUUCAUUUUUAUGGAAAAGCUAUAAUAAAAAUAUAUAAUUAACUUUUUCUGUAAUAAAAAACUUAAAAAUUUAAAGACUGAAUUUAGCUUUAUUACUUUUUUCAGUUGCCAAAUCGAUUAACUCCACCAGUCACAUAAAAACUGUGACAUUACUGACGAUUAUUUUUUAACUAUUCUUUCUUAUUAAUUUUAUAUACCGUUAGAUGAAAGCCAUAUCUGUAUUUAUGCAUUUUACAUUAUAUAUUUGAAUUUAUAUUAUAACAGGAAUUUUAAAAAACAAUAUACAUUACUUCAUCGCAUUUCUCAACUUUUUGUUUUAUGGAGUUAAUCGAUGUGUGCACUCAUGAACUCAGUGAACUCAGUGAACGGCUCAUAUAGAGAAAAUAUAUGAGGAAAAUAACCAAUCAUUUGUUAAGGAGUGGAUCUACAGGAAAGUAUUUAAUACUCAAUUUAAUUUAAAUUUCCAUGCUCCUCGAAAGACACGUGCCAAAAAUGCGAUAUACUGAAGGGAAAAGUCGAAGCAUGCAGUAAUGAGGAUGAGACGUUACAUCUUACAAGGAAACCCCCCCAACCCGA